UACGUAGGGUGCAAGCGUUGUCUGGAAUUAUUGGGCGUAAAGAGCUCGUAGGCGGUCUGUCGCGUCGGCUGUGAAAACCCGGAGCUCAACUCCGGGCCUGCAGUCGAUACGGGCAGACUGGAGUUCGGCAGGGGAGACUGGAAUUCCUGGUGUAGCGGUGAAAUGCGCAGAUAUCAGGAGGAACACCGGUGGCGAAGGCGGGUCUCUGGGCCGAUACUGACGCUGAGGAGCGAAAGCGUGGGGAGCGAACAGG
rnacentral:rRNA from 1 species